GUUGAGGUCUAUCCUGAUCGGCUUGUUCUGCAGACCCACAUCAUUGGAGAUGCCUCAUCAAAUGUGUUGUUUGCUUUACUCACAGAACUAUUUGUUAGUCUGUGGAAAGAACUGUAAGAGAGAG
rnacentral:snoRNA from 1 species